AUUUGUUUAGGGAACUGGGCAUAUGACCUGGUUCUGGCCCGUGAGAUACAAGGGGGGAUGUUUGCUGAGUGACUUCCAAUUUUCUUCCGUAAUAAGAGAGGUUUGUAUUACCAGAAGGUCCUUUCCCACCAGUCCUCUUCUUUCCUACUUGGAUUACUAUGGUGUGAGGAAGUCAUGGCUGGAGCUUUGGCAGCCAUUUUGUGACCCUGAGAUGAAGGCCAAUACAAUUGCAGGGAGGUUACACAACCUUGGAGCUACCUAUCUCUAGACAUUUUGUCAGGUGAGAUGAAUAAAUACAUUUGUGGUUAAGCCACUGUUAGUCAGGUUUUCUGUUAUGUGCAGCUGAUAUAGAACCCAAGUGCUCCCUCUCCUUUGGUCAUAGGCUAGAUGAAGUUAGACGCUUUAGUCCUCACCUCGUGGGUAGAGUUGGAGUUUCCAAGUUGCAGCCCGAGGCAGCUGCAGAAUUGAGGUAGUGUUCUGGGGUCAUGAAGGGUUUGCUUUUGUUGCUAGGCAGCACGCUGGGGUCUGGUCCUUACAGAGCUCUCUCUCAGUGUUCUUUACCUGUCUCCAUGCUCCCUCCCUCCAUCUUCCAGGAACUGUCUCUACCUGUGGGGAUGGACAGCAGCAUCUAGCCUAGAGGAACCCUCUGAGGUUUGAUCAAUGAGAGACAUCAGCAGGAGAGAAGGGGACAGGAAAAGAAGGAGGUAGGGGUUUAUUCUUCUCCGGUCCACUGCAGAUUGGCGGUGUUCCUCCUCAUCGGCCACAGCUCUGGGGUUGGGUAGCUGCUCCCUCCUUGCCCUUUCAGGCCUAGGAUUGGUACCAGUUCCCUGCCCUUACUGACCCUAGGAUACUGAACUAUCCCUUUUUGUUUUCCCCAAACUCAGUCCACACCUUUGUAGAUGAGAUUCCUUAUUAAAUUCUUGUCAAAUUGUCCAGUCUGUGGGUGUCAUCUGCUUACUGUUGUACCUCAACUGAUAAAGGCAUGCAAUGUUUUACACCUGACAUGGUUUGGAUCUGUGUCCCCACCCAAAUCUCAUGUUGAAAUAUAAUCCCCAAUGCUGGAAGUGGACCGUGGUGGGAGGUGAUUGGAUCAUGGGGAAUGGUUUAGCACCAUCCCCUUGGUGCUGUCUUGUGACAGAGUUCUCACAAGGUCUAGUUGUUUAAAAGUGUGUAGCACCCUGCCCCCUUGGCCUUGCUCCUGCCAUGUAAGACACCUGCUCCCACUUUGCCUUCUGCUACGAGUACAAGCUCCCUGAGGCCUCCCCAGAAGCAGAUGCCACCAUGCUUCCUGUACAGCCUGUGGAACCGUGAGCCAAUUAAAACUCUUUUCUUUAUAAAUUAUGCAGUCUCAGGUAUUUCUUUACAGCACUGUGAGAAUG
rnacentral:lncRNA from 10 species